GCUCAGUAACACGUGGGUAACCUGCCCUAUGCUGGGGAAUAACCUCGGGAAACUGAGAAUAAUGCCCCAUAGUUCACCACGCCUGGAACGGUGGGUGGAUGAAAGCUCCGGCGGCAUAGGAUGGGCCUGCGGCGUAUCAGGUCGUAGGGGGUGUAAAGUACCCUCUAGCCAUCGACGCGUACGGGUGUUGGGAGACAUUGCCCGGAGAUGGAUUCUGAGACACGAAUCCAGACCCCACGGGGUGCAGCAGGCGCGAAAACUUCGCAAUGCAGGAAACUGUGACGAGGGAACUCCAAGUGUCCAUGCAUUGCAUGGACUGUUUGCCAGCCUAAAAAGCUGGUAGAGUAAGGGGUGGGAAAGACCGGUGCCAGCCGCCGCGGUAACACCGGCACCUCAAGUGGUAGCCACUAUUAUUGGGCCUAAAGCGUUCGUAGCCGGCUUAGUUAAUUCCUGGGUAAAUCGUACCGCUCAACGGUGCGGAUUCCGGGGACACUGCCAGGCUUGAGACCGGGGGAGAUCAGAGGUACUUGCGGGGGAGCGGUGAAAUGUUGUAAUCCCGCAGGGACCACCAAUGGCGAAGGCAUCUGAUCAAAACGGCUCUGACGGUGAGGGACGAAACCCUGGGGCGCAAACGGGAUUAGAUACCCCGGUAGUCCAGGGCGUAAACGCUGCUGACUUGGUGUUGGGGGCCCUGCGAGGGUGUCCAGUGCCGGCACGAAGGUAUUGAGUCAGCCGCCUGGGGAGUACGGUCGCAAGACUGAAACUUAAAGGAAUUGGCGGGGGAGCACUGCAACGGGUGGAGCGUGCGGUUUAAUUGGAUUCAACGCCGGAAAACUCACCGGGGGCGACGAUUACAUGAAGGCCAGGUUGAUGACCUUGCCUGAUUUUUCGAGAGGUGGUGCAUGGCCGCCGUCAGUUCGUACCGUAAGGCGUUCUGUUAAGUCAGAUAACGAACGAGACCCUCAUUGCCAUUUGCUAGGCUCUUCUCAGGAAGGGUUGCACUAUGGCGAUACCGCCACUGCUGAAGUGGAGGAAGGAGGGGGCAACGGUAGGUCAGUAUGCCCCGAAUCU
rnacentral:rRNA from 1 species